rnacentral:rRNA from 1 species
GACAGAGGGUGCAAACGUUGUUCGAAUUACUGGGCGUAAAGCGCGUGUAGGCGGCUAAGUAAGUCGGGCGUGAAAUCCCACGGCUCAACCGUGGAAGUGCACUCGAAACUGCAUAGCUAGAGUCCUGGAGAGGAAGGUGGAAUGCUUGGUGUAGAGGUGAAAUUCGUAGAUAUCAAGCGGAACACCGGUGGCGAAGGCGGCCUUCUGGACAGUGACUGACGCUGAGACGCGAAAGCGUGGGGAGCAAACAGG